GAUGAAGAACGUAGCGAAAUGCGAUACGUAAUGUGAAUUGCAGAAUUCAGUGAAUCAUCGAGUCUUUGAACGCACAUUGCGCCCCCUGGUAUUCCGGGGGGCAUGCCUGUCCGAGCGUCAUUGCUGCCCUCAAGCACGGCUUGUGUGUUGGGCCUCCGUCCUCCUCCCGGGGGACGGGCCCGAAAGGCAGCGGCGGCACCGCGUCCGGUCCUCGAGCGUAUGGGGCUUCGUCACCCGCUCUUGUAGGCCCGGCCGGCGCUUGCCGACACAUCAAUCUUUUUUCCAGGUUGACCUCGGAUCAGGUAGGGAUACCCGCUGAACUUAAGCAUAUCAAUAAGCGA
rnacentral:misc_RNA from 1 species